rnacentral:rRNA from 1 species
GACGGAGGAGGCAAGCGUUAUCCGGAAUUAUUGGGCGUAAAGCGUCCGUAGGUGGUUAUUGAAGUCUUUAGUUAAAGGUUAGAGCUUAACUCUAAAUAGGCUAAGGAAACUGAGUAACUAGAGUGCGGUAGGGGUAGAGGGAAUUCCUGGUGUAGCGGUGAAAUGCGUAGAUAUCGCUUGGAACGCCGAAGGUGAAAACAGGCUGCUGGGGUUGCGCCGACGCUGAGACACGAAAGCCAGGGGAGCAAACGGG